ACUCUUUUGAUCAUCAAUAGAAUCUUUCAACCUAAGCAAACCAUGCGUAACAAAUUCUCAAUCAGUGACACUAUCAAUCAUGCAAAUCAAAGCCAGGAUCAAGAAUUAAUAUUACUUGUAACGCAGCCCUCUACUUCCGUGAAGGCAUUCCGGUCAAAUUGCCUUCUUCCCAUGUUCAACCAGGAUAUAUGAGAAAUGCCUUAACGUCGUCUCAAGGGAUUCAACGAAGAACGCUACCAAUGUUAGGAAUUGUUUUCCCAAAAUCUUAAUUUAACAAGAUUAUUCAUUAUUAUUGUUGUAUGACAUCUGUGGGAUCAACGUGACGUCAAAUAAUAAAGAUAACCAUGCUAGAAAACCGCUA